rnacentral:lncRNA from 1 species
CUGACAACGACAAGGCUAAAUGACAUGACUGCAAGGUUGGACAAGUCAGAGCUCCAGAGAUGACUGACUUCUGCAGAAGGUAAAACCUACACCUGAGAGGGAGCAGAUGAGGAAACAGCACAGAAUUACAAUCGCUGCCACGGAGAAAGUAUUUAAACUAGAGACCGUGAGUGAAAGAGGUUUGACAGAAAGGAAAAAUGAAAUGUAGAUCUCACAUCAGAAAAGAAGAAAUACACAGUAAACAACUUCUUGAGGAUACCGAAAUGUAAUAAGCAAUUUUUAAUAUGGUUUGUUUGUACAUUUUUCAUCUUCUUUUUAUUACAAUUUUGGUUAUGAUUUAGCUUCCAGGCCAUUCCCUCCAUAAAAUCCAGACAAACUGCUUCAUGCUGCUAUUUAUAAUAAAUGACUGGGGGAAAAAAAAAAAGAAAAAAGACUUCAGUGAACAAGUUGGUAUAGUUAAAAAAUAUUUUUUGGUGGAUGAUAUUUGUUUCGCUUGUCACUACUCACCAUUUCUCAAGGCCCCGAGGAUUUAACACUUUUUCAGAUGGUACUUCUUACCUUUCAGCAGUACAUUUAUUUUCACAGCAGAUACGACUGUUUGCAGGAGUGGGCAUAGAACAGAUACUAUGAACCAAAAUUCUUCAAAAGCAGAAAAUAAAUGAAUCCAAGUGCUCAACAGAAAUGGAAAUUUAACCCCAACCUUUAUAAAUAUGUUCUAUGAUACCAAAAUGAAUUUGCACUUGGGGAUAAGAUUUAUCUCUUUUUUGCCUCCAUUCCCCUGCACCUGAUAACAUAUUUUUUGUGGGACCUAUCUAUCUGCAGAAAUAUUUUCAGACCUUGCCAUUUGCCUUUGAUCCACGUACUGACUUGGAUGAACUGAUGAUGAAUUGGUGGUGAAUCCCAUCCAACCUUCACCUGACUUCCAUGUGCUGCCGUGCCCUUGUCUGUGACCCAGCACUGUCUGUCCUCAGCCACCCUCCACCUCCUGAUGCUCCUCUCCAGCAGUAACAUUCUUCUCAUCUCUGUGUCAUUGUUCGUGUCCUGAGCUUUUGUUCCUUCAGCUUAUUUCCUCCUGCAGCUCUUCUACUCGCCAAAAUCUUUCCUCCAUCUUCCACCCAGUGACUCCUGAUCUUCCUAUCCUGCCAGUCUCAGCUUCUCUUCCCACCCUUGUGCCUAGUCAGGCCAGGCAGUCCCACAGUUUUUGUCUUGUUCAAAUUCUGUAAGUCCAGCCCUUGUCCCACCCUGCUUGAAACAAAGCUUUGGACGAGGUCAUGUGGUAUAUAUGGAGAUCUUGGAGUUCACCCGGAGCCAUGGAGGAAAUAAUGGAAAGCGAGCUUUUAUAAUGGCACUUGUGGAAAAGCAUUUUUAACUAGAGAUGAACUAGUAUUCAUAUGUUUAUAAAUUAUUUUCUAUACAUAUUUUACCGUAUUUUUUUUUUACUAACUGUAUUUUUGCUAUCUGGAGUAGUGUCCACUGAUUACACAGAAGUGAAUGUUUUUGAAAGAAUUUGAAGUGCAAAUUGAGGUCGUAU